rnacentral:rRNA from 1 species
UGGGGAAUAUUGCACAAUGGGGGAAACCCUGAUGCAGCGACGCCGCGUGGAGGAAGAAGGUCUUCGGAUUGUAAACUCCUGUUGUUGAGGAAGAUAAUGACGGUACUCAACAAGGAAGUGACGGCUAACUACGUGCCAGCAGCCGCGGUAAAACGUAGGUCACAAGCGUUGUCCGGAAUUACUGGGUGUAAAGGGAGCGCAGGCGGGAAGACAAGUUGGAAGUGAAAUCUAUGGGCUCAACCCAUAAACUGCUUUCAAAACUGUUUUUCUGGAGUAGUGCAGAGGUAGGCGGAAUUCCCGGUGUAGCGGUGGAAUGCGUAGAUAUCGGGAGGAACACCAGUGGCGAAGGCGGCCUACUGGGCAACAACUGACGCUGAGGCUCGAAAGUGUGGGUAGCAAACAGG